UACGGGGGGUGCGAGCGUUGUCCGGAAUCACUGGGCGUAAAGGGCGCGUAGGUGGUUUGAUAAGGGUGUGGUGAAAGCCCGGGGCUCAACCCCGGGUCUGCCGUGCCGACUGUCAAACUCGAGGGCUGUAGAGGCAGACGGAAUUCCGGGUGUAGCGGUGGAAUGCGUAGAGACCCGGAGGAAGACCGGUGGCGAAGGCGGUCUGCUGGGCAGUUUCUGACACUGAGGCGCGACAGCGUGGGGAGCAAACAGG
rnacentral:rRNA from 1 species